GAACAUUAUCAUCCUUAAAGGAGCUCCCCAUUUCCUCGGAACCAAAGCAGGAAGCAGCAGGACCUCAGAUCUGACCCACAUCAACGUGCCCAGGGUCUCACAUCCUGUCAAGCAGACACUGGACAAACCUGUUUCACUGACGAGGACGCUACAGCUUGGUAGGAGGAGCGAGGUGGUAUGGAAGCCCGCUGCAAACCCCGGUCUUUCUGUCCCCAAGCUUGCCCUCAGAAUAGCUGUGCUGCAUCUUGGAGGGGGGCAUGGAUGUGUCAGUGCCCUAGAUACAGUUCCUGUCCUUGGUGAUGGGACAAUUAAAAGCGUUUGUUCAUCA